GACGAACGCUGGCGGCGUGCUUAACACAUGCAAGUCGAACGGAAAGGCCCUGCUUUUGUGGGGUGCUCGAGUGGCGAACGGGUGAGUAACACGUGAGUAACCUGCCCUUGACUUUGGGAUAACUUCAGGAAACUGGGGCUAAUACCGGAUAGGAGCUCCUGCUGCAUGGUGGGGGUGGGAAAGUUUCGGCGGUUGGGGAUGGACUCGCGGCUUAUCAGCUUGUUGGUGGGGUAGUGGCUUACCAAGGCUUUGACGGGUAGCCGGCCUGAGAGGGUGACCGGCCACAUUGCGACUGAGAUACGGCCCAGACUCCUACGGGAGGCAGCAGUGGGGAAUAUUGCACAAUGGGCGGAAGCCUGAUGCAGCAACGCCGCGUGCGGGAUGACGGCCUUCGGGUUGUAAACCGCUUUCGCCUGUGACGAAGCGUGAGUGACGGUAAUGGGUAAAGAAGCACCGGCUAACUACGUG
rnacentral:rRNA from 1 species